CCUACGGGUGGCAGCAGUGAGGAAUAUUGGUCAAUGGGCGCGAGUCUGAACCAGCCAAGUAGCGUGAAGGAUGACUGCCCUACGGGUUGUAAACUUCUUUUAUAAAGGAAUAAAGUGAGGCACGCCUGCCUUUGUGUAUGUACUUUAUGAAUAAGGAUCGGCUAACUCCGUGCCAGCAGCCGCGGUAAUACGGAGGAUCCGAGCGUUAUCCGGAUUUAUUGGGUUUAAAGGGAGCGUAGAUGGGUUGUUAAGUCAGUCGUGAAAGUUUGCGGCUCAACCGUAAAAUUGCAAUUGAUACUGGCAGUCUUGAGUACAGUUGAGGUAGGCGGAAUUCGUGGUGUAGCGGUGAAAUGCGUAGAUAUCACGAAGAACUCCGAUUGCGAAGGCAGCUUACUAAACUGCCACUGACAUUGAGGCUCGAAAGUGUGGGUAUCAAACAGGAUUAGAUACCCGAGUAGUC
rnacentral:rRNA from 1 species